GCGUAUAUAGCUCAUUGGUGGAGUGCGUGCUUAGCAUGCAUGAGGUCCUGGGUUCAAUCCCCAGUACCUCCA
rnacentral:tRNA from 1 species